rnacentral:sRNA from 1 species
GCUGGGCAUGGUGGUGCAUGCCUGUAAUCCCAGGAGCUAUGGAGGCUGAGGCAGGAGGAUCACAUAUUCAAAGCUAGCCUCAG